rnacentral:tRNA from 1 species
GCCGUCGUGGCGGAAUUGGUAGACGCAAGGGACUUAAAAUCCCUCGGUCGCAAGGCCAUGCCGGUUCGAUUCCGGCCGACGGCA